GAUGAAUGCUGGCGGCGUGCCUGAUACAUGCAAGUCGAGCGGUAAGGCCCUUCGGGGUACACGAGCGGCGGACGGCUGAGUAACGCGUGGGGAACAUGCCCCAAAGUGAGGGAUAACGCACCGAAAGGUGUGCUAAUACCGCAUAUGGUCUUCGGAUUAAAGGAUUUAUCCGCUUUGGGAGUGGCCCGCGUACGAUUAGAUUGUUGGUGAGGUAACGGCUCACCAAGUCGACGAUCGUUAACUGGUCUGAGAGGAUGAUCAGUCAGACUGGAACUGAGACACGGUCCAGACUCCUACGGGAGGCAGCAGUAAGGAAUCUUCCACAAUGGGCGAAAGCCUGAUGGAGCAACGCCGCGUGCAGGAUGAAGGCCCUCGGGUCGUAAACUGCUUUAUGAGUGAAGAAUAUGACGGUAACUCAUGAAUAAGCACCGGCUAACUACGUGCCAGCAGCCGCGGUAAU
rnacentral:rRNA from 1 species